AUGCAUCUAUUUGACAGACCUACAGCAAUUGCUUAUCUACUGCCAAUGUUUCCACUACAGAUGCAAGAAAAAAGUGUCCUCGUGCUUUCUGCCUGUCUGAUUGUGGCAGCCCAGAUUGAAUGGAGGAAUACAGGA